UAAGGAAUAUUGGUCAAUGGAGGCAACUCUGAACCAGCCAUGCCGCGUGCAGGAAGACAGCCCUCUGGGUCGUAAACUGCUUUUAUUCGGGAAUAAACCUAUUUACGUGUAGAUAGCUGAAUGUACCGAAGGAAUAAGGAUCGGCUAACUCCGUGCCAGCAGCCGCGGUAAUACGGAGGAUCCAAGCGUUAUCCGGAUUUAUUGGGUUUAAAGGGUGCGUAGGCGGCUUAUUAAGUCAGGGGUGAAAGACGGUGGCUCAACCAUCGCAGUGCCCUUGAUACUGAUGAGCUUGAAUACACUAGAGGUAGGCGGAAUGUGACAAGUAGCGGUGAAAUGCAUAGAUAUGUCACAGAACACCGAUUGCGAAGGCAGCUUACUAUGGUGUGAUUGACGCUGAGGCACGAAAGCGUGGGGAUCAAACAGGAUUAGAUACCCUGGUAGUCCACGCCCUAAACGAUGAAUACUCGCUGUUAGCGAUAUACAGUUAGCGGCUAAGCGAAAGCGUUAAGUAUUCCACCUGGGGAGUACGCUCGCAAGAGUGA
rnacentral:rRNA from 1 species